GUGAGGAAUAUUGGUCAAUGGACGCAAGUCUGAACCAGCCAUGCCGCGUGCAGGAUGACGGCUCUAUGAGUUGUAAACUGCUUUUGUACUAGGGUAAACUCACCUACGUGUAGGUGACUGAAAGUAUAGUACGAAUAAGGAUCGGCUAACUCCGUGCCAGCAGCCGCGGUAAUACGGAGGAUUCAAGCGUUAUCCGGAUUUAUUGGGUUUAAAGGGUGCGUAGGCGGUUUGAUAAGUUAGAGGUGAAAUGUUAGGGCUCAACCCUGAAACUGCCUCUAAUACUGUUGGACUAGAGAGUAGUUGCGGUAGGCGGAAUGUAUGGUGUAGCGGUGAAAUGCUUAGAGAUCAUACAGAACACCGAUUGCGAAGGCAGCUUACCAAACUAUAUCUGACGUUGAGGCACGAAAGCGUGGGGAGCAAACAGGAUUAGAAACCCGGGUAGUCC
rnacentral:rRNA from 1 species